rnacentral:rRNA from 1 species
AGUGAACGCUGGCGGUAGGCCUAACACAUGCAAGUCGAACGGCAGCACAGAGGAGCUUGCUCCUUGGGUGGCGAGUGGCGGACGGGUGAGGAAUACAUCGGAAUCUACUCUGUCGUGGGGGAUAACGUAGGGAAACUUACGCUAAUACCGCAUACGACCUACGGGUGAAAGCAGGGGAUCUUCGGACCUUGCGCGAUUGAAUGAGCCGAUGUCGGAUUAGCUAGUUGGCGGGGUAAAGGCCCACCAAGGCGACGAUCCGUAGCUGGUCUGAGAGGAUGAUCAGCACACUGGAACUGAGACACGGUCCAGACUCCUACGGGAGGCAGCAGUGGGGAAUAUUGGACAAUGGGCGCAAGCCUGGUCCAGCCAUACCGCGUGGGUGAAGAAGGCCUUCGGGUUGUAAAGCCCUUUUGUUAGGAAAGAAAUCCAGCUGGCUAAUACCCGGUUGGGAUGACGGUACCCAAAGAAUAAGCACCGGCUAACUUCGUGCCAGCAGCCGCGGUAA